CAGAAUGCAAUGAGCAGGACACAUUGAUAUUUGAAUUCUUUUUCAGAGAGUUGUCGGUUGCUGUGAGGCAAUAAAGAACUUAUGUCCAUAUCCCCUGCGAGCAGUCAGCUGAACAUGAUGAUUCAUUAGUAAGUGCGACCGGAAUCCUUCCGUUAUCAAGGAGCACAUUAAAUGAUGUGACUAAGGGAUUACGAUUUGAGUAAUAAAAAGAAGUGGUACCGCGGAGAAUAUUCGUCUUCUGA
rfam:Clostridiales bacterium Nov_37_41 Ley3_66761_scaffold_7677, whole genome shotgun sequence.